GACGAACGCUGGCGGCGUGCUUAACACAUGCAAGUCGAACGAAAAGACGGAAAGAGCUUGCUCUUUCCGGAAUUGAGUGGCAAACGGGUGAGUAACACGUAAACAACCUGCCUUCAGGAUGGGGACAACAGACGGAAACGACUGCUAAUACCGAAUAAGUUCCAAGGGCCGCAUGGCCCAUGGAAGAAAAGGUGGCCUCUACCUGUAAGCUAUCGCCUGAAGAGGGGUUUGCGUCUGAUUAGCUGGUUGGAGGGGUAACGGCCCACCAAGGCGACGAUCAGUAGCCGGUCUGAGAGGAUGAACGGCCACACUGGAACUGAGACACGGUCCAGACUCCUACGGGAGGCAGCAGUGGGGAAUCUUCCGCAAUGGGCGAAAAGCCCUGACGGAGCAAACGCCGCGUGAAGUGAUGACGGCCUUUCGGGUUG
rnacentral:rRNA from 1 species